ACUGAACCCGUGGAGGAAGUGCCCGUCCAACCCGACGAGGCAGCCGGUCAUUUCCUGGAGGGUGUGAGACCCUGACGCCCCCCAAGGGCACCCUCGGCUCCAGUCUGGAACUGGAGGCGUCACUAUGGAACCGCAGGAUCUCCGUGUCGUCCAGGUAGAUGACGACGGUGUAGCGGUUCUUCUCGCCGAGGGGAGUGAUUUACAGGAAACUCCUAUGAUGCCGCUGCUUUAAUUUGGUUAUAGAGGGAUCUUAUCUGAGAGAUGACCAGGGACAUCACUGAGGGGGACAUGCAGUAACUUCUGUGGUGGACAUAACUGAGAAUGCUCAUCGACUGGAAAUGAAAUCUGCCCAGCACGCUGAACUGACUGCUCUAACUCGGGCUUGUCCCCUGGAUGAAGACCUAGUCGCCGAUGUUAACACUGAGAGUCCUGUGUGCCUGGUGCAUCCGGGACUGUGGGAUGAUGGGGAAGUGGGUGAGGCCUCCUCACUUCCUCAGGGCAGUGCACAAAGACAUGCAAAAGUGGUUGCAGGAUUAUUAGAUGCCACACAGGACCUCAAACAAUGGGCCAUCAUCAACAUUCCGGGGCAUUCUAACGCUGCCACUAUGGAAGGGAAAGGAAGUUCAUUUUGUCUGUGCUGCAGCUAGGGAGGUGGCAUUGAACUGAGACGUUAUCCUGACCCGGAAAUGUACACCGAAUUCUAUUAAAUCAAUAAAGGAUUAUCUUUUACAGUUUCAGUGGACAGCUAAGGAAAAAGAAAAGGGAAUAUGCAACAAAAAGGGGGAAAGUUUGACCCAGACAGAGAGAUGUGGCUUGGACCCAAUCAGAACCCAUCUCACCUGUAGGGGCCCAACUCCCUGCACUUGAACCUGUACAGGACCCACCACACUUGAGCCUUGGAAAGGUGAUUUCAUGGAGUGAACACUGUGACUGGAGACCUUCUCCUGCUGUGGCUCAUGAGGAGUACAGCAGCUGUCCUGUCUGUCCACAGUGCAGCUCAGGAACCCACUCCCUGGGUCCCAAGGACAUUUCCUGCUCCCUGUGGGUCCAGAUGAGGUUGGCAUUUUAUCCAAUGUCACCGUGUCAGGGAUGCAAACGUACAUGAGUGAUGACUUGUGUGUUUCGUCACUGGGUUGAGGUGUUGCUUUGAAGGAGAGUCACAGCCUCAAUGUUUGCUAGUUCUCGUUAGAAAGAAUAACUCAGAGGGGAAUCCAUCUGAGUUACACAAUGACUGAAGACUAAUUUCACUGGGCAGGUCACAAAAUCUGUUGGAACCUUUGGCCCCUUCUGCAGCAUUUUCACGUGCCCCUCCCCCCUCCCCCCAGACUGGGGGAUGCACCAAUGGGACAUCAAAAUUCAACUGGACAGAACUUCAGAAGCCUUCACUCUGCCCUGGACAGAAGCUCUCUCCAGAGUACAACUCAGCCUGAGGGCUACGCCCUUUGGUAACGUGAACCUUCUCCUUUGGGACUGGUCUCUGACUUCCUUGUGCAUCUGGAGAAGGGGCACAUGGACCAAUUUUGCUGAAAGGGGACUUUCUACAUCAGUGUCAGGGGCUUAUUAACCACUCCUGGGAGUCAUAGGUUUCAAAGAUGAUGGCUUACAACCAGGACACUCGGUCUGUUGGAAGAGACAUCAAAUCAAGGACUCUCUCCAGCCUCAUUGGAGGGACCUUACCAGGUGCUACUAACUAACCCACGUGCAGCUGAGCUCAGAGGAGUUAACUCCUGGGUUCCCACGUCUCAUUUAGAGAAGACUCCUGACAGUGCACGGAGAUCUGCCCCUUCCCUGACACUUGCCUCCAUGCACAGCAGAGAUCAGGGACUUUUCAAGGACAAGAAGCCACCAACCAGGCAGGCAGACAGCUGUCCCAACACAGAAACAGGGCCUACAGGCUCACAAAUUGAUGCUGCUGUUGACUGAAUGUACAUAAGAUGGAUUUGUAUUAUUAUCCUCCUCGUCGCUUCCUGAUGGAAACAGUACCCGUCCACCCAGACCCCCUUCCUUCUUAGAUGUGGAAAACGUAUCUUUGGUACCUGUCAACAUUCCCACCUACUGCACAAUCAUAUUCUGUUUUUUAAAUAGUUUUACGUCUUUAUUUUUAGAAAGCAACCUUCGUUCCUUCCCUAGAAAUACUGGCACGAACUGCACAACCAACUAAAGUACCAGGCUUUUCUUGUGGGCUUUCGCUACCUUCACAGGUCAAUCCCAGUUCCUCAGGGCUUUCUGGUAACGACCAGAACCCAUACAUGCCUCCUUCAGGCGUGACAUUCCGGUCAAAGUCCUGGUUAACAAAACCACUAUUAAAGACUGGUCUUAUUGAUUUUA